GACGAACGCUGGCGGCGUGCUUAACACAUGCAAGUCGAACGGAAAGGCCCUGCUUUUGUGGGGUGCUCGAGUGGCGAACGGGUGAGUAACACGUGAGUAACCUGCCCUUGACUUUGGGAUAACUUCAGGAAACUGGGGCUAAUACCGGAUAGGAGCUCCUGCUGCAUGGUGGGGGUUGGAAAGUUUCGGCGGUUGGGGAUGGACUCGCGGCUUAUCAGCUUGUUGGUGGGGUAGUGGCUUACCAAGGCUUUGACGGGUAGCCGGCCUGAGAGGGUGACCGGCCACAUUGGGACUGAGAUACGGCCCAGACUCCUACGGGAGGCAGCAGUGGGGAAUAUUGCACAAUGGGCGGAAGCCUGAUGCAGCAACGCCGCGUGCGGGAUGACGGCCUUCGGGUUGUAAACCGCUUUCGCCUGUGACGAAGCGUGAGUGACGGUAAUGGGUAAAGAAGCACCGGCUAACUACGUGCCAGCAGCCGCGGUGAUACGUAGGGUGCGAGCGUUGUCCGGAUUUAUUGGGCGUAAAGGGCUCGUAGGUGGUUGAUCGCGUCGGAAGUGUAAUCUUGGGGCUUAACCCUAAGCGUGCUUUCGAUACGGGUUGACUUGAGGAAGGUAGGGGAGAAUGGAAUUCCUGGUGGAGCGGUGGAAUGCGCAGAUAUCAGGAGGAACACCAGUGGCGAAGGCGGUUCUCUGGGCCUUUCCUGACGCUGAGGAGCGAAAGCGUGGGGAGCGAACAGGCUUAGAUACCCUGGUAGUCCACGCUGUAAACGGUGGGUACUAGGUGUGGGGUCCAUUCCACGGGUUCCGUGCCGUAGCUAACGCUUUAAGUACCCCGCCUGGGGAGUACGGCCGCAAGGCUAAAACUCAAAGGAAUUGACGGGGCCCCGCACAAGCGGCGGAGCAUGCGGAUUAAUUCGAUGCAACGCGUAGAACCUUACCUGGGUUUGACAUGGAUCGGGAGCGCUCAGAGAUGGGUGUGCCUCUUUUGGGGUCGGUUCACAGGUGGUGCAUGGCUGUCGUCAGCUCGUGUCGUGAGAUGUUGGGUUAAGUCCCGCAACGAGCGCAACCCUUGUUCACUGUUGCUAGCACGUUAUGGUGGGGACUCAGUGGAGACCGCCGGGGUCAACUCGGAGGAAGGUGGGGAUGACGUCAAGUCAUCAUGCCCCUUAUGUCCAGGGCUUCACGCAUGCUACAAUGGCUGGUACAGAGAGUGGCGAGCCUGUGAGGGUGAGCGAAUCUCGGAAAGCCGGUCUCAGUUCGGAUUGGGGUCUGCAACUCGACCUCAUGAAGUCGGAGUCGCUAGUAAUCGCAGAUCAGCAACGCUGCGGUGAAUACGUUCCCGGG
rnacentral:rRNA from 1 species